AUGAAGGCCUUCAACCAAUUCUACAACCUUGCUGGCAACUAUUUUGGCUUUCUCAACUCGGCGAUCGUAGCCCUCAUCCCCAAGAAAGUCGGCACGAACGACAUCAACGACUACCGUCCGAUUAGCCUGAUACACUCCAUAGCCAAGUUAGUCUCCAAAGUGCUCUCGAUCAGGAUCGCCCCGGUUGUUCAACGCAUCAUAUCGCCAGCCCAGACAGCUUUUCUGAAAACUAGAUGCCUCCACAACAGCUUCGUCUACGUCCAAAAUUGUGUUAGAGCUCUG
rnacentral:rRNA from 1 species